UACAGAGGGUGCGAGCGUUAAUCGGAAUUACUGGGCGUAAAGCGUGCGUAGACGGUUAUCUAAGUCGGAUGUGAAAGCCCCGGGCUCAACCUGGGAAUUGCAUUCGAGACUGAAUAGCUAGGGUACGGUAGAGGGAAGUGGAAUUUCCGGUGUAGCGGUGAAAUUCGUAGAUAUUCGGAAGAACACCAGUGGCGAAGGCGACACACUGGCCCGUUACUGACGCUGAGGCUCGAAAGCGUGGGGAGCAAACAGG
rnacentral:rRNA from 1 species